CAACUACUGGCUCUUCACCCACUGGUUAAUUCCACCACUUAUUCAUGCAAUAAUACUUCAAAGCCCCUGAGUUCUUCCUCCCACUCCUCCUGGAAAACCUGCCUCCCCAGGAAAGAACAAUCUUCUGCUGAAAGCAAACCUUUUUGCUUUCUUGUGGUCAGAAUUAUAGACAGGAGGGAACAGAUGGCUGACUUGUGAAGAGACAAAUUCAGGCUGCCAAAGCUUAACAAAGCUAAUAAAAGGAGAGAAGUGUUGUAAGGCGUGAAUGACUCAUCACAGAACAUCCAUGGGGCAGAGGGGCCACUGGGGCCCAGGCUGGCAGAACCAAUGCAGAAAACCUGAAACGAGACAGACAAGUCAUUAGCGACCAGGACCACUGAUUUCUUUCAGUUGUCAG